UAAUUUAAAGUCUAGCCUGCCCGAUGAUGAAUUGAAUGGCCGCGGUGUUUUGACCGUGCUAAGGUAGCAUAAUCAAUAGUUUUUUAAUUGAAAGCUGGAAUGAAGGGUUGGAUAAAAAAAUAACUGUCUUUAUUUAAUUUAAUUAGAAUUUUAUAUUUAAGUUAAAAAGCUUAAAUUUUAUUAAAAGACGAGAAGACCCUAUAGAGUUUAAUAAAUAGUUAUAUUAUUAUAUUUAGAAUUAAUUUUAUUAAUUAUAUUAUUUAUUUAAUUGGGGUGAUUUAAAAAUUAGAUUAACUUUUUUUGUAUUUAAACAUUUUUAAAUGAAUAUUUGAUCCAUAUAUAAUGAUUAUAAGAUAAAAUUACCUUAGGGAUAACAGCGUUAUUUUUUUUUAGAGUUCAAAUCGAAAGAAAAGAUUGCGACCUCGAUGUUGGAUUAAAAUUAAUUUUUGGUGUAGAAGCUAAAACAUUAGGUCUGUUCGACCUUUAAAAUUUUACAU
rnacentral:rRNA from 1 species